rnacentral:rRNA from 1 species
CCUACGGGUGGCAGCAGUGAGGAAUAUUGGUCAAUGGUCGGGAGACUGAACCAGCAACGCCGCGUGGAGGAUGAAGGUUUUCGGAUUGUAAACUCCUUUUGUUAGAGAAGAUAAUGACGGUAUCUAACGAAUAAGCACCGGCUAACUCCGUGCCAGCAGCCGCGGUAAUACGGGGGGUGCAAGCGUUACUCGGAAUCACUGGGCGUAAAGAGCGCGUAGGCGGGAUAGCAAGUCAGAUGUGAAAACCUAUGGCUUAACCAUAGAACUGCAUUUGAAACUGUUAUUCUAGAGUAUGGGAGAGGUAGGUGGAAUGCGUGGUGUAGGGGUAAAAUCCGUAGAGAUCAAGAGGAAUACUCAUUGCGAAGGCGACAUGCUAGAACAUAACUGACGCUGAUGCGCGAAAGCGUGGGGAGCAAACAGGAUUAGAUACCCGAGUAGUC